rnacentral:miRNA from 1 species
ACCUGGUUAUAUCCUGAGAUAUUACCUGGUUUUAACCUAGUUAUAUCCUGAGACAUUACCUGGUUAUAACCUGGUUAUAACCUGGUUAUAUCCUGAGACAUUAC